rnacentral:rRNA from 1 species
CGGGUGAGUAAUAUAUCGGAACGUGCCCAGUCGUGGGGGAUAACGUAGCGAAAGUUACGCUAAUACCGCAUACGAUCUACGGAUGAAAGCGGGGGAUCGCAAGACCUCGCGCGAUUGGAGCGGCCGAUAUCAGAUUAGGUAGUUGGUGAGGUAAAGGCUCACCAAGCCGACGAUCUGUAGCUGGUCUGAGAGGACGACCAGCCACACUGGGACUGAGACACGGCCCAGACUCCUACGGGAGGCAGCAGUGGGGAAUUUUGGACAAUGGGCGCAAGCCUGAUCCAGCAAUGCCGCGUGCAGGAUGAAGGCCUUCGGGUUGUAAACUGCUUUUGUACGGAACGAAACGGUGAGCUCUAAUACAGUUUGCUAAUGACGGUACCGUAAGAAUAAGCACCGGCUAACUACGUG